UACGGGGGGGGCAAGCGUUGUUCGGAAUUACUGGGCGUAAAGGGCUUGUAGGUGGCCAACUAAGUCAGACGUGAAAUCCCUCGGCUUAACCGGGGAACUGCGUCUGAUACUGGAUGGCUUGAGAUUGGGAGAGGGAUGCGGAAUUCCCGGUGUAGUGGUGGAAUGCGUAGAUAUCGGGAGGAACACCAGUGGCGAAGGCGGUUGCCUGGAGCUUUGCUGACGCUGAGGCGCGAAAGCGUGGGGAGCGAUCCGG
rnacentral:rRNA from 1 species